rnacentral:lncRNA from 1 species
CGCACUUGUUGAGUUUGGGAACUUUCAGAGGCUUGAACUUCUCACUUUGGACGCAGCGGAGCUCUCACCUCAUCAUCAUUAUCAUCAGAUUCAGGCGACGUGGAUGUAUGCUGACUUUUUCGUCUAGGACUAUGUUUUGCUUUGUCGAAGUUGAUGUGGAUUGUCUUCAGUGUUUUACGCGUUAGACGCACACAGCGCGCGCGAGUAAUAAAGAACAUAACUGUGAGGAUGUGGAUGCGCCUUUAAUGCAUAUACAGAUUCAUAUCUGAAGGAGAGUUAGUGUUUGUGGGGCUAUUGGGAUAUGGCACUAUUUAUGGACUUUAAAUGCUCUCUAAAGGGACACUCGCUGGUGCAGUGAAUGGAGAACAUCGCAGCUUUGCCAAGAAUAAACUUCUCGAUCAACUCCUCUUCAUACCUUGGCAGCUCAGAAGUUUCUUCAAUCCUCAAAAUGUCAAACCCAGCUUCCUGAGGAGAGCGUGGCUUUCAUUUGCUUUGAUGUUGGCCUUCCCCUCGUCUUUCUUCUUGUUAAUUUAAACAGUGGAAGACAAUCAGCGCUGGAGGAUGAAAAAUGUGAUAAACAUUGGAAAGAGGCUGGUUUGGGGUCAUGAUACUCUCUGGCUGGAUGCUGAUAAUUCGCCAACAAAUGUGAUGGUCUCUCCUUGAAGAGUUCUGUGUUUAAAGCAAAAGUACUAAAAGACAUUCUUCUUCUCUGUCUUCACAUUAAACCAGCUUGAGUGAGAUCGAAUUAAACCUGGCC